AUAGUUUGAUAUCCCCAUAUAUAAGACGUUGCCUCGAAUUUUCACUAGGUUUUUUUGAAUAUUACCCUGUUUUUAUGAAAACAAUACAGUCAAUUAAUUUUUAAAAAGUGUAAAAUUAUUGUAAAAUGACCUUUCGUGUGAUAAACAAAAUAUUAUCUUACUCAAUGAAGAGGAGUGUAAAUCCGGAUUUCAACCUCAAGAUCUAUCUAAAAGAUCAAUGUCUGCUAAUAACACACGAGGAAAUUCACACUUUAUAUCUAAUUCUUUUCUAGCCUUAUGAAUGUGACCUAUCAGAAUAUCCUUUCUUAUAGAGCUUCUUUAUCUAGUAAUACUUACCACUGUCUAUCGUCUUUUUUCCAAAUGAUAAAAUUAUGGCAACAUUUUUAGUAAAUUGUGUGGCUUUAGCCAUAAGCCAUCGACAGACCGUAUUAUGAGAUACUACUAUGUGAGAUAAUCUUAAACACUUUGAAAUGAGUUUCCUUUUUCACGAUCCGCGUUUAGAUAUUGGGUUGAAAAUUGGGUACUCUCCAGUAAUUUAGCGGACGCCUUUAAAUGCACAGAAUGAAAAGAUGUUUGGAUUCUAAAACAAUGGUAAAAUACCUCAUACGUUGAUGUCGACAGAUUUUUGUAAAAGAAUAUUUAUCAUUGAAUGAUUGCUAUAAUUUGUUAAAAGAUCGUAAUAUUUUGUUGAAUAAACGGAGUACUUUUAAUAUUCAUCCUUUUUAAUAUUAGACUGGUUCCCUUGAUUCCUUAUCUAUACAUAUGGAAUGACCUAAAUGAUAUCAUAUCAAAUCAUAACAUCGUGAGUUACUGGCCCUAGUGUUCUCAUUCGGGUAAUGUUAACAUAAAGCAAUGGUUAUAUGUAAGAUCGGGUGCGUACGCAAAUUUUCAGAAUUUUUUUAGUAUUCCAUUUUCAUCAUCAAUAAUUUCAUAGUCACCUCUUCAACAAUUGCUACAUCAUAUUUUUCUUUUGAUCAGUACGAAUGUCUAUGCACCAUAAAAAUACCAACAAAAUAUACAGUAAGCUGAUUUUUUUCCAAUUGCAGGGUUAAAUUAAUUUUAAUUGCUGGUUAUAGAAAACUCAAAACAAAAAUUCGUUAUGGAUACCCCCGUAUAACAAGUGUGAGAAAUUCCUCUUUUUGUUUGAAAAAAUCCUAACGAGAAACCUCCUGCAGCUUAAUUCCAUGAUCUUAUUAAGCUCACUAGACGUUUAGCUUUCGGAGUAUCAUGUGCACAUUCUGUUUGUAAAUUAUAUUUGUACAAAGUUAUUUGAUGUUAGUAUGCUCGUGGCUUGAAUAAAAGUGCAUAAAACUUGAUAAUUUCACCGCGACCGAGUAACACGGCUAGGCAAGGUGUACGUCCACGACCUCUACUGCGAAAUACUUUAAACUGUUAAGAGGUCUGCAGCUUAUAUAAUGGGUUGUAGGGAUAACCGUAGUGAAAGAGAAAUAUGGCGGACACUGCCUAUUUACGAGCGGUGUUUAGCUUUAAGUAAAAGCAUGAUUUCAACUUUGGGGCCCCCGUGACAUGAAUUAAAAUUUCACAAAAAAGACGAAUCUAAGUAACGAAUUUAAGGUAGCAACACGAUUUUGGGGCACUGGUGAAAAUUUUCAGUUUAUUAGACGAAAUAAUGAGAUUUCGUCUUUAAGAUGAAAUGUAUUAGUGACGCUUGUGAAACGUGAUUUGGGCGCUCAUUAUAGAUCUGUUUGCGUUAAUACAUAGGGUGCAUGUUCUAUUGAGCUAUACGACAAUAACUCUUCAUAAUACAGUUAUUUCAGUAGAGUGAGCAGUUUGCAUUCCUCAAGUUUAUUGACAAUAAAAAUAUCAAAAUGUC
rnacentral:sRNA from 1 species